ensembl:lncRNA
CAAAUCUCCACCUUCUUACAUCCACACCCGGGCUGAUUCGCCGACGGCGGAUCCCUUCCUGUCAGCCGAGGACGAGCUGACCGCUGGCGAGGCGAUGGGACUCCCUGAGGGUUUCAUCCGCAUGCAGACGGACAACGUUGGGCCUCGACCCCAUCAGAUAGGACGGAGCGCGGUACCGGCAGUAUGAACACUGGAUCCCCUGUAGAGGCCACCUGCUCACAUGGAAAUGAGUAAAACAGUAAGGAAGCGUGGGUCUCCGCCUGUGUAGCACUACGCUGGAAAUGGCUGUACAAACCUGGAUGGCGGCGGCCAGCACGCUGAACCUGAGGUUUCUAAACCACAGCCUCAAGUGAGUCGCACUUCCCCCACCUCAGUCCCUGAUGACAGCGACGUCACGUCGCCUGUGCUUGAAUCAACAACUCGGGUCUUAAAUGUUUUCCAUGUUGCGGGGCGAUCGACAGCAACUAAAGAAAUCAACGGUUUUAACCACAUAACUGGAACAUAACUGGCCGCCGUUAAAGCAAACGUGCUGGAAAGCUAAAAGGGCGCCAGAGAAUGAACUCAUCAAUUGAUCUGACACAAAUCACCCUGAAGUCAUUACGCUGAAGCCGACAUCGAUGUGUGCGACUCACUUUCACUGCAGCACACUCUGUAAUCCCAAAUCUCUGCAGAGCUAUUAAGACUUGGCCUCGCUGAAUGUUGCACGCUAUAAUAAUCAAUAAUCGAGCAUUGUAUCAAACCAAAACAUCAUCCAUGACGAGUUAAUGUAUGUUAUAGAUAUCCAAGCCUUCUGCAAGAAUUGAUUGAUUGAGCAAAG